rnacentral:rRNA from 1 species
AUUGAACGCUGGCGGCAUGCCUAACACAUGCAAGUCGAACGAGUGGCGGACGGGUGAGUAAUGUCUCGGAACCUGCCUAAUAGAGGGGGAUAACUACUCGAAACGGUGGCUAAUACCGCAUACCAUCGGAUGUGCCCAUAUGGGAUUAGCUUGUUGGUGGGGUAACGGCUCACCAAGGCGACGAUCCCUAGCUGGUUUGAGAGGAUGACCAGCCACACUGGAACUGAGACACGGUCCAGACUCCUACGGGAGGCAGCAGUGGGGAAUAUUGCACAAUGGGCGAAAGCCUGAUGCAGCCAUGCCGCGUGUAUGAAGAAGGCCUUCGGGUUGUAAAGUACUUUCAGCGGGGAGGCGGUAUCCGCAGAAGAAGCACCGGCUAACUCCGUGCCAGCAGCCGCGGUAAUAC